UCCGGGCAGUUUGAGUUGAUUCGCUCUUCCCCGAUAGAGCUUGGGUCAAAUUACUGUCCGAAAAUCGUAGAGAAGAGUGCACCUUCAAAAAGUGAACUGCUUUCUUUACGGUUUACUUACAGACUGCUGCUCUUCCCACAUCU
rnacentral:snoRNA from 1 species